rnacentral:rRNA from 1 species
CACGUCUUGGCGCCGGGUUGCCAGCGGUGUCCGGCUAGCAGGGACCGCCGCGGGGGGUGCAACCGUUGUCCUGAGCCGUCCGCCGCGUCCCGGGUGAGCGGGCAUGCAUGGCUUCGUCCUUGGGGAGAGC